UACACUCCUACGGGAGGCAGCAGUGGGGAAUAUUGCACAAUGGGCGCAAGCCUGAUGCAGCCAUGCCGCGUGUAUGAAGAAGGCCUUCGGGUUGUAAAGUACUUUCAGCGGGGAGGAAGGCAAUACGGUUAAUAACCGUGUUGAUUGACGUUACCCGCAGAAGAAGCACCGGCUAACUCCGUGCCAGCAGCCGCGGUAAUACGGAGGGUGCAAGCGUUAAUCGGAAUUACUGGGCGUAAAGCGCACGCAGGCGGUCUGUCAAGUCGGAUGUGAAAUCCCCGGGCUCAACCUGGGAACUGCAUUCGAAACUGGCAGGCUUGAGUCUUGUAGAGGGGGGUAGAAUUCCAGGUGUAGCGGUGAAAUGCGUAGAGAUCUGGAGGAAUACCGGUGGCGAAGGCGGCCCCCUGGACAAAGACUGACGCUCAGGUGCGAAAGCGUGGGGAGCAAACAGGAUUAGAAACCCGAGUAGUCCCAUGA
rnacentral:rRNA from 1 species